UACGAAGGGUGCAAGCGUUACUCGGAAUUACUGGGCGUAAAGCGUGCGUAGGUGGUGAGUUAAGUCUGUCGUGAAAUCCCCGGGCUUAACCUGGGAACUGCAUUUGUGACUGCAUAGCUAGAGUACGGUAGAGGGGGAUGGAAUUCCGCGUGUAGCAGUGAAAUGCGUAGAUAUGCGGAGGAACACCGAUGGCGAAGGCAAUCCCCCUGGACCUGUACUGACGCUCAUGCACGAA
rnacentral:rRNA from 1 species